UACGUAGGGGGCAAGCGUUGUCCGGAAUCAUUGGGCGUAAAGAGCGUGUAGGCGGCUCGGUAAGUCCGCUGUGAAAGUCCAGGGCUCAACCCUGGAAUGCCGGUGGAAACUGUCGGGCUAGAGUCCGGAAGAGGCGAGUGGAAUUCCUGAUGUAGCGGUGAAAUGCGCAGAUAUCAGGAGGAACACCAAUGGCGAAGGCAGCUCGCUGGGACGGUACUGACGCUGAGACGCGAAAGCGUGGGGAGCAAACAGG
rnacentral:rRNA from 1 species